rnacentral:tmRNA from 1 species
AAUUAAAUAAGUGGCGCGUCUUCCGGGUCCGCCGUUAGGUCCGGGUCAAGACGCCAUUAUGACGGAUGCGUAAUCUUUCUUUUCCGGUUGGGAGGUUACAAAGUAAAAGACAUCGGAUAGUCCGGGAGACACCCCGUUUCAGGUCAAGCCCCGGAUGAACAAAAAAUUGAAGCUACGCUCGUAGCGGCUUUCGCGAUCGCCUUUCCGGACAGGGGUUCGACUCCCCUCUGCUCCACCA